GUUUCCACACUGGAAAGGAAGAGGCAGGCUACUGUGCUGUCAUCACCCUCUCUGCAUUUUUAUCUCUGCUCCCAGUUCCUGUGUCCUGUGCCAGGGGGCUGGAGCUGGAGCAGCAGGCCAGACAGUUCCAGUCUACCUCCUUACCCAGACAGAACACAAGUUUAUAGUCAAGAAUCCAACCUGGGGGCUUGUCUGAGACAGAGGAGCCCAACUAGCCCACAGGGCUCUGAGAGCCUGCUGGUCUCCCCCAUGAAAGGUCUUCAGACUACGGCAGCAUCACUACCAAGACAUGGGCAGAGGUCAAAGAUUCAACUAAGGGAAGAACUGCAAUGUUGAGGAAAUAAAUGUACAAAGGACCUACUUGUGUGCAUGACAUACCUUCACGCAAAACCCAGCACAGAAGUUGUGCACAAAGAGAGGAAGCUGCUCAU